rnacentral:lncRNA from 1 species
CACAAAUGGAGCUUUCCCUGCUGGAGGCACAUUGCAGUUCCCCCUUGGAAAAAAGAAAGUUUAAGAAGCAGUCUCUCCGCAGGAGCCUUUAAUGUUAUUUUCAAAGGCUGAGGUUUGAAACUGAAAGGCGCUUUGGUUUCCAGGGUAUUGCCAACGGGGCUGAAAUUACAUUGCCACAGCCAAGGAAGGUCGUUCAUGUUUAGUCAGCUCUGCUGUCACCAGGGCUCUGCCUCUUAACUUUGCUGGCCUGUCAUAGACAGGGUAAGGGCACAUCAUUUUUGUACUUUGCUAUAUAGCAUGGACACAAGUCUGGAAGGUCUGCAAAACUCUUUUUUUUUUUUUUCCAUCAGGUUUCAUUCAGUCUGCAUUUUUUCUGCUGCUGUGAAUUUCCCAGUCUCAUGGAAUAUCAAAUCGUUCGGAGAUACUGAUUCUGUUCCUGUUCAUAAAGGAGGACUUAUGCAUGAGGCUGAAAUUUCUGAUAUCAGAGGAGAGAGGCUGGUUUGGAGCAGAGGACUGGAGUGGAUAACCAAACUUCAUCAUCACCAUCCUCCCUGUUCCCGCAGCAGUAACUGUGCUCAUUAUGGGAUGCUCUUGGGCUGGAGGAGCAGGAGGGGUUUGUUCUUUGUCCAGGUACAGCUGCAGCCCCAUUCCCCUCCUACUCUUUCAAACCAGCUGGGGUGGAGAAGAGGAAGAAAGAGCUGGCAGUGGAGGGGGAGUCCAGAGGAACUGCUUCUUGUGCUUGAAAUCUGAUCCUAUUUAUCUGCUGAUCUUUCUCCAUCUCCAUUCCCCCCUCCUUCCGUGUCAGCCCAGUGUUGGGUUACCGAUGGGAGCGAGGAGAGCAUCGCCUGCUCUUAGGAAGUUUGCAGCUGCAUCCAUCCUGGGAAGCAGACACCAGGACAAACAGCUUGUCAGAAAGGUUGGCUGAAAGUUCCCCUUAGCUUGGCUAAAAUUUCUGAGAAAGCUGGAGGUUCUCAUGUGGUUGGAAGAGCAGCUCUCACCCCGAACAAAAUCCACCCCUUGCCAAAAAUUCACAGGAGUUGGCAACCUGGGCCACGGGACUAAGUGUUAAAAGGGGGAACACCGAUACUGUGCUACGCAGGUGUUGAGUCUAUGUGAUCCCUCCUGGCUUUGAAAUCCGGGUAAUGGCAAGAACACAGCCAUUUGUUAGCGAGCACGGCUUCUGCUCACCGGCUCUCCCGGGUCAGAGCCAAUGGAGCGAGGAGCAAAACUGGGGCAGAAAUGUCUCAGGAGCUUUUCAGACCUCUAGGGGUCUGAACACUGCUCUCUGACAUAUCAUCUGUAAUUAACCCUCUAUACAGAUAGCAUACCCAAAGUCUACAGCUCUCAUUGCAUUUCAGACCAGCUGAGCAAUUGCACGUUUUGCUCCAGUUUUGAAUUUACCCAAGAGUCAUAAGCAGAGGCUCUUCCUCUGCAGGAACAGAGGGAUCCAUUUCACAGGAUUUUACUGUGAUUUCAAAUCACUUUUCAAAUCACUUUCUACUGUAAAAUGAGAGCUUUACACACAGUUUUGGAUUCUUGUGGCAUGAGUUUCUGUGGGGGAAGGAUUAUUUUUAAGACAACAGAAACUUUUUACUUUAAUGUAAUUAUGGUCUGAAUUUGAUUUUUCUGUUUUAUAUUGCAUAACAUCAGAUUAAAAGGAUCAAAAGUAUCCAUUUCCAAACAGAAAAGUUCCAC